GAUAACGCUGGCGCGCACAUAAGACAUGCAAGUCGAACGGACUUAACCCGAAGUUUACUUUGGGAGCGGUUAGUGGCGGACUGGUGAGUAACACGUAAGCAACCUGCCUAUCAGAGGGGAACAACAGUUAGAGAUGACUGCUAAUACCGCAUAUGCCUUAGCAACACAUGUUGCAAAAGGGAAAGGAGCAAUCCGCUGAAAGAUGGCUUCGCGUCUGAUUAGCUAGAUGGCGGGGUAACGGCCCACCAUGGCGACGAUCAGUAGCCGGUCUGAGAGGAUGAACGGCCACAUUGGGACUGAGACACGGCCCAGACUCCUACGGGAGGCAGCAGUGGGGAAUAUUGCACAAUGGGGGAAACCCUGAUGCAGCGACGCCGCGUGAAGGAUGAAGGUCUUCGGAUCGUAAACUUUUGGUCUUCAGGGACGAUAAUGACGGUACCUGAGGAGGAAGCCACGGCUAACUACGUG
rnacentral:rRNA from 1 species